rnacentral:rRNA from 1 species
AUGGCGUCGUCGAGUCCGCCGUGGUCCGAGCUCCCGCGUGACAUCGUAGGCCUCAUCAUCGACCGCCUGCCGUCUGCCUCUGGCCGCCGCCACCGCUGGUCGGCGGCCUCGUCAUGGCUGCUCUUCUGGCCGCCGGCGUGGUUAUGGCUGCUCUUCUGGUCGGCGUGCUCUUGGCUGCUACAGGCGCUCCUCGACAGCCUGGGUCGCCUCCGGGCGGCAUGUCCUUUCCACUACCACACGGCGGACUCGGUCCACCAAGCUCACUUCCGUGCGGCGUAUUGCUCCUGGUGCAGCGCGGACUCCGUCGAUCGCGCUCGCUUCCGGGCAACUUGCCAUGCUCACCGCACGGUCGAAGCGGUGUGUCGCUCCUGGCGCGCCGCCGCGCGCGAGCACCUCCCCUGUCCACCCCGACGCCUUCCAUGGAUCGUAGAGAACAGGUAUUUCAUGACAAGCUCCGACACAUGGCGUCGCCGUCUCCCCUACUUGCCCAAGAACACGACAUGCAUUGGUUCCACCGACGACUGGAUCGUCCUCUGUUGCAUCGUCGGGAAUGAUGCCAAUGCCUGCAAAUCGCAUAGCUACCUCUUGCACAAUCCUUUCACCGACGCGAUUGUGCCGCUUCCCGAGCUAGACGCUCUUAUCGGCAAUAAUAUGUCUUUGCUUUUCGAGGUCCGCAAGGUGCUCAUGCGCUCAUCCCCACAUGAUGUCGUCGCUGUUAUGACGAACGACGACAAUUACCCUAUCAUCCUAGUUCGCCCAAGGAAGGGUGUGUGGCUGCCCAGGCCACGGUCGGCUCCCUUCAUCUACAUCAUCGACAUCGUCUUUAUCGGAGAUAGGCUCUACGGAAUCACCAAGGCGGAGGACCUCAUCUGCUUUGAUAUUGCUUUCAGUGUCGAUGACGUGCCCACCGUUACUAUAGUCAAGCGCGUCAUAAGGCACCCGCCGAAGAAGGCCGGUGACUGUUCAGACGUAUGGAGCAACGUGGAUUUGUUCCGCGCAACAAAGUGUGACGAUGGUUAUGACUUGUGGAGCGAUGUUGACGAGAAAUACCACAAAUAUGAUGCCAAGGGUAAGGGCAGGCAUGAUAUCGAGACUCUAAACGAAGAGCGUGACAAUGGCCAUGCACAAUGUGAAAUAAUGAGGAACACCGGUGACCUCGGGAUUGGGGAAGGCAUCCACUAUGAAAUAUCUCAUGGCCUCUUCAUCACUACCUGGCAGAUCGUCGAGUCUCUUGGGAAGUUGCUCAUGGUGAGACGGAAAUUGCAUUGGCUUGAGCGCGGUGGCAACUACACGCACAGCGCGGACGUGUUCGAGGCUGACAUAGCCAUGGGGGCAUGGGUGCCCGUAAAUGAUGGACUUCACGGCCAGGCACUCUUCAUUAGUAGAUACUGCUGCAAGUCCGUUCAUGCCUGUGGAGAGGUUGAUAAAGACGCGGUCUAUUUUGUUGACACGGGCGAAGUGCUCAACAUGAGAUCCAAGAUCAUAAGCCAGCCACGGAGGAAUCUGUAUUUCAGAGAGUCAACUUGGCUCUUUCCCCCGGAACGUGUUGUCUAA